rnacentral:rRNA from 1 species
CCUACGGGUGGCAGCAGUGAGGAAUAUUGGUCAAUGGGCGCGAGCCUGAACCAGCCAAGUAGCGUGAAGGAUGACUGCCCUACGGGUUGUAAACUUCUUUUAUAAAGGAAUAAAGUGAGGCACGUGUGCCUUUUUGUAUGUACUUUAUGAAUAAGGAUCGGCUAACUCCGUGCCAGCAGCCGCGGUAAUACGGAGGAUCCGAGCGUUAUCCGGAUUUAUUGGGUUUAAAGGGAGCGUAGAUGGGUUGUUAAGUCAGUUGUGAAAGUUUGCGGCUCAACCGUAAAAUUGCAAUUGAUACUGGCAGCCUUGAGUACAGUUGAGGUAGGCGGAAUUCGUGGUGUAGCGGUGAAAUGCUUAGAUAUCACGAAGAACUCCGAUUGCGAAGGCAGCCUGCUGGACAUUAACUGACGCUGAGGCGCGAAAGCGUGGGGAGCAAACAGGAUUAGAUACCCCUGUAGUC